UGCCUGCAGUCUAACAGCUACCCACCCACAGUGUUACAGGUGCUGAUGGAAGGUAUUGAAUCCUCCUCUUCUGACCUCCAGAUCUAAGGAGGAAGACCCCCUGUUCUAAU